AGCAAAAUGAUAUAGCAAGACUGCCAGGAGAAAGAGCAUAACAAUACUAAAAAUGCAGUUGAGGAGAAUGUCUAUUACUGCAAACACAAGCUGGAUGGUCCCUAUCAGAUGUUUAUAAAUGCUCAAGUAAUGUAUCUUCUGUGCAGCUUUUCCCAGCUCGAUGACACGGCAUUACCUGUAGAGUGACAUGUGAUGUAUUUAGCUCACAGGGACUGUUAUCAACUGACUGUGAUUUAUUCAUAGCGUUCGUUAAUGUUUUCAUGUUUCAGAAGCCCGUUUCUGAUUGCGGAAUCUCUGAAGGCCAUUUUCAGUUCAUGUAUAAAUGAAACAAACUCUCAUUCAUUUCAAUUAGUUAGUAGUUCAUUUGAGCUCUGCAGCUGAAAGGAAAACAAAUCUAAAUGACGCAUAAAACAAACGCUUUUUUCUUCUCUCCAGGACCAUCAGGCGUUCUCUUGAGGUUUUAAAUGGCACAGAGAACUGGCUGUACAAAGAGGGAGCAGACGUACAUUAACAAGCUGGAAGAAAUACAUAAACUGGGUAAGCCUGUGCAAAACAGAUACCAGGAGUCCAUACGGAGACCUAAAAUGUUCAAGGAGCUGUCAGCCAAAAUACAAAGCUACAUGACUAUUAUGGAGGAGUAUAAGAAUGGAGUAAGAAUAAGUUUUCUCUCUCAUUUUCUUCAUCAUAUAUCACAUCUUAUUUGGAACAAUCAUGCUCUGCAAGACACUUUACAGCACAGGGAGGCAUUAUUUUAUAAAUUAUAAUGGAUCUCAUGCAGUUACACAGUCCGAUUUCAGCCAUCAGUCUCUCACAACUGACUAUAAAUAGUGUCUGCUUUCACAUUUAUUCAUUAAGCAGAAGCUUUUAUCCAAAGCGCCUUAUAAAUGAAGAAUGCAACAACACAGCAAUUCAUCCUAAGGAGACUGUAAUAUCAGAAGCACUACAAUACUUUCUUUUAAGUUCCUAAACUGACUAGAAAUGUAUUUUUAUCAAUGGUUGUGUAUUGUAUUUAAAGAAAUACUAUAGCAAAUGUAAAGAAUUUAUUGUCAGUAACUAGGUAUGCACACAAUGGUUAUCAUUUAAUUGUACAUGCUCAUUUACUUUAUUUUUACAUUUAUAUUUUUUACCUUGCUGUGAUCUGAUGUUCACCAGGGUUAUAUAUAUAUAUAUAUAUAUAUAUAUAUAUAUAUAUAUAUAUAUAUUGUUUUAACUUGAUU
ensembl:lncRNA